rnacentral:rRNA from 1 species
CAAUAGCGUAUAUUAAAGUUGUUGCAGUUAAAAAGCUCGUAGUUGGAUUUCUGGUAGGAGUGACCGUUCCGAACUUGAUUGUUCGUGUAUUGUGUUUUCUCCAGCCAUCCUUGUGGAGAACUUUUCUUGCAUUAAUUUGUAGGGAUUGGGACCCGCAUCGUUUACUGUGAAAAAAUUAGAGUGUUUAAAGCAGGCAAUCGCUUGAAUACAUUAGCAUGGAAUAAUAAGAUAGGACUUUGGUACUAUUUUGUUGGUUUGCGCACCAAAGUAAUGAUUAAUAGGGACAGUUGGGGGUAUUCGUAUUCCGUUGUCAGAGGUGAAAUUCUUGGAUUUACGGAAGACGAACUACUGCGAAAGCAUUUACCAAGGAUGUUUUCAUUAA